rnacentral:lncRNA from 1 species
GGUUAUAAAAUAUUCAUUUCUGUCGGGGAAUAUUCGUUUGGUCGUGGAAUAUUCUUUUUGUCGGGAAUCUCCGUACGACGGCGCAGUCAUUGGUGGGCCCCAUAACGGAAAACAGUUGGAUGAAAGAAAACGACAAAGAUUGAGUUUUAUAAAUAACGGCGUAAAUUGUUACCGUUAACACUGUUGGGUUACCUGGUGGUUAAAAUACAGUAAUAUGCGUGGUUGCACAGUAGCACACGGUAUUGCACAGUAUUGUUGAAUUAUUGAUCCUUACGUAAGAAGGCACUACUCAAUAAUUGUUACAG